CGUAGGAGCAAGCGUUGUCCGGAUUUACUGGGUGUAAAGGGUGCGUAGGCGGCUUUGCAAGUCAGAUGUGAAAUCUAUGGGCUCAACCCAUAGCCUGCAUUUGAAACUGCAGAGCUUGAGUGAAGUAGAGGCAGGCGGAAUUCCCCGUGUAGCAGUGAAAUGCGUAGAGAUGGGAGGAACACCAGUGGCGAAGGCGGCCUGCUGGGCUUUAACUGACGCUGAGGCACGAAAGCGUGGGUAGCAAACAGGAUU
rnacentral:rRNA from 1 species